rnacentral:rRNA from 1 species
UACAGAGGUGCCAAGCGUUGUUCGGAUUUAUUGGGCGUAAAGGGCGCGUAGGCGGUUAUGUAAGUCGGGUGUGAAAUUUCGGAGCCUAACUCCGAAACUGCAUUCGAAACUGCAUAGCUCGAGGUCUGGAGAGGUAAUUGGAAUUCUAGGUGUAGCAGUGAAAUGCGUAGAUAUCUAGAGGAACACCAGAGGCGAAAGCGAAUUACUGGACAGAACCUGACGCUGAGGCACGAAAGCUAGGGGAGCAAACGGG